rnacentral:misc_RNA from 1 species
AGGUUUGCCUCAAGUUUUUUUUUUAUAUAUUUUUUUAUAGAAGCUUGGAACCUGUGCAUGUAAAUCCUUUAAGUGGCAUCAGUCGACCUUCUGAACUAUACAUUAGUAUUAUUGUUUAAUAUUGUAGAUAAAGAAUCUUGUUUUUUAAGUUUUGAAAUGAAUUAAAAUUGUUUUAAAGCUGUACCUGAAUCAAAAUUUCUCUUGCAAGCUUUAGCU